rfam:Oryza nivara chromosome 4, whole genome shotgun sequence.
AAAAAGGCAAACCCUGGGUUUCCGUGUACAACUUUGACUGUCCGUCUUAUAUAAAACUUUUUUAUAAUUCGUAUUUUCAUUGUUGUUAGAUGAUAAAACAUGAUUAAUAUUUUAUGCAUGACUUGUCUUUUUAAUUUUUUUCAUAAUUUUUUUAAAUAAGGCGAAUAGUCAAACCUUGGACACGGAAAUCAGGGUUUGUCUUUUU